rnacentral:rRNA from 1 species
AUUGAACGCUGGCGGCAUGCCUUACACAUGCAAGUCGAACGUGAAAGGGGGGCAACCCCCGAGUAGAGUGGCGGACGGGUGAGUAACACAUCGGAACGUACCCAGUAGUGGGGGACAACCUCGAGAAAUCGAGGCUAAUUACCGCAUACGACCCACGGGUGAAAGCGGGGGACCGCAAGGCCUCGCGCUAUUGGAGCGGCCGAUGUCCGAUUAGCUUGUUGGCGGGGUAAGAGCCCACCAAGGCGACGAUCGGUAGCUGGCCUGAGAGGAUGAUCAGCCACACUGGGACUGAGACACGGCCCAGACUCCUACGGGAGGCAGCAGUGGGGAAUUUUGGACAAUGGGGCAACCCUGAUCCAGCCAUGCCGCGUGCGGGAAGAAGGCC